CAAGUCGCGUGCGCAGUUGCCGUAGCAAUACGGUGAUGGGCGCACGGCGCACGGGUGCGUAACACGUGGGCAAUCUGCCCUUUGAUGGGGAAUAACCCGCCGAAAGGCGGGCUAAUUCCGCAUAAGAUUCCCGGAACUUCGGUUCUGGGAUUGAAAGCAGCAAUGCGUCGAAGGAGGAGCCCGCGCCCGAUUAGCUAGUUGGUGAGGUAAUGGCUCACCAAGGCUUUGAUCGGUAGCUGGUCUGAGAGGAUGAUCAGCCACACUGGAACUGAGACACGGUCCAGACUCCUACGGGAGGCAGCAGUGGGGAAUCUUGCACAAUGGGCGAAAGCCUGAUGCAGCGACGCCGCGUGGGGGAUGAAGCAUUUCGGUGUGUAAACCCCUUUCGACUGGGAAGAAUACCUCGCAAGAGGGGUGACGGUACCAGUAGAAGAAGCCCCGGCUAACUACGUGCCAGCAGCCGCGGUAAGACGUAGGGGGCCAGCGUUGUUCGGAAUUACUGGGUGUAAAGGGUUCGUAGGCGGUGCGGCAAGUUGGGAGUGAAAUCUCUGGGCUUAACCCAGAGGCUGCUUCCAAAACUGCUGUGCUCGAGUGUGGGAGAGGCGCGUGGAAUUGCAGGUGUAGCGGUGAAAUGCGUAGAUAUCUGCAGGAACACCCGUGGCGAAAGCGGCGCGCUGGACCACUACUGACGCUGAGGAACGAAAGCUAGGGGAGCAAACAGGAUUAGAUACCCUGGUAGUCCUAGCCCUAAACGAUCAGGACUUGGGGUGCCGCCCGUUCGGGCGUCGUCCCGGAGCUAACGCGUUAAGUCCUGCACCUGGGGAGUACGGUCGCAAGACUGAAACUCAAAGGAAUUGACGGGGGCCC
rnacentral:rRNA from 1 species